rnacentral:rRNA from 1 species
UACGUAGGGUGCAAGCGUUAAUCGGAAUUACUGGGCGUAAGCGUGCGCAGGCGGUUAUGUAAGACAGUUGUGAAAUCCCCGGGCUCAACCUGGGAACUGCAUCUGUGACUGCAUAGCUAGAGUACGGCAGAGGGGGAUGGAAUUCCGCGUGUAGCAGUGAAAUGCGUAGAUAUGCGGAGGAACACCGAUGGCGAAGGCAAUCCCCUGGGCCUGCACUGACGCUCAUGCACGAAAGCGUGGGGAGCAAACAGG